rnacentral:rRNA from 1 species
UCAGCCGCCGGCGGUAACACCGGCAGCUCAAGUGGUGGCCRUUUUUAUUGGGCCUAAAGCGUUCGUAGCCGGCYUGAUAAGUCUCUGGUGAAAUCCCRCAGCUUAACUGUGGGAAUUGCUGGAGAUACUAUCAGGCUUGAGGUCGGGAGAGGUURGAGGUACUCCCAGGGUAGGGGUGAAAUCCUAUAAUCCUGGGAGGACCACCUGUGGCGAAGGCGUCYARCUGGAACGAACCUGACGGUGAGUAACGAAAGCCAGGGGCGCGAACCGGAUUAGAUACCCGGGUAGUCCUGGCCGUAAACGAUGUGGACUUGGUGUUGGGAUGGCYUCGAGCUGCYCCAGUGCCGAAGGGAAGCUGUUAAGUCCACCGCC